CUCUGUGCUACAGGGAGACACACAGACCUCUGCUCAGUAGAAGGCUAGCUAACGUGUCAGUCUUUCCAUCUGUGUAAUAGCCUACCACACAACACCUGUUUUCAUGCGUCAACUUGAUCGGACCACGGGGUACCCAGUUCUAACGCCACAAGUUUGCUGGAUGCCUGCCGCCGACCUGAGAGGUGUCAUGAGGCUGUUCCCUCCACAGGGACACACAGGAGGGCCACCAGAAACGAUGCCACUCAAGGACACACUGCAUGCCAUAACACUUGGUGGCCAUAAGAACAGUUAUUAAUAAGGAAGAGGCUGG